UACGGAGGAUGCAAGCGUUAUCCGGAUUCAUUGGGUUUAAAGGGUGCGCAGGUGGGAAUGUAAGUCAGUGGUGAAAUACUGCCGCUUAACGGUAGAGCUGCCAUUGAUACUGCGUUUCUUGAGUAUGGUUGAGGUAGGUGGAAUGUGUUGUGUAGCGGUGAAAUGCAUAGAUAUGACACAGAACGCCGAUUGCGAAGGCAACUUACUAAGCCAUUACUGACGCUGAGGCACGAAAGCGUGGGUAGCGAACAGGAUUAGAUACCCUGGUAGUCCACGCUGUAAACGAUGUUCACUCGCUGUUUGCGAUACACAGUAAGCGGCUGAGCGAAAGCAUUAAGUGAACCACCUGGGGAGUACGAUCGCAAGGUUGAA
rnacentral:rRNA from 1 species